rnacentral:rRNA from 1 species
ACGGGAGGCAGCAGUGGGGAAUAUUGCACAAUGGGGGAAACCCUGAUGCAGCAACGCCGCGUGAGUGAUGACGGCCUUCGGGUUGUAAAGCUCUGUUUCCAGGGACGAUAAUGACGGUACCUGGGGAGGAAGCCACGGCUAACUACGUGCCAGCAGCCGCGGUAAUACGUAGGUGGCAAGCGUUGUCCGGAUUUACUGGGCGUAAAGGGAGCGUAGGCGGAUUUUUAAGUGGGAUGUGAAAUACCCGGGCUCAACUUGGGUGCUGCAUUCCAAACUGGAAAUCUAGAGUGUCGGAGAGGAAAGCAGAAUUCCUAGUGUAGCGGUGAAAUGCGUAGAGAUUAGGAAGAAUACCAGUGGCGAAGGCGGCUUUCUGGACGAUAACUGACGCUGAGGCUCGAAAGCGUGGGGAGCAAACAGGAUUAGAUACCCUGGUA